AGGUUAAAUAAAAAGGGCUUAUAGAGGAUACCUUGGCACUUAUUGGCGAUGAAGGGCGUAUUAAGCGACGAAAUGCUUCAGUGAGCUGCAAAAAAGCUUUGACCUGGAGAUCCCCGAAUAGGGCAACCUUUAAAACUACUUCGGUGAAUUUUAUAGCCAAGUAAGAGCAAACCCAGUGAAUUGAAACAUCUUAGUUAGCUGGAGGAAUAAAAAGCAAACGCGAUUUCCUUAGUAGCGGCGAGCGAAGCGGAAUAAGUCUAAACCGUUUAUACGGUGUUGUGGGACAGAAACAUUGAGCAUUUUAGUCUAAGGAUAAUCUUGUUGGAAAACAGAGCUUUAGCAGGUGAUAGCCCUAUAUCUUCAAGACUAUUUGUUAUAAUUUGUAUCCCAAGUAGCAUGGAGCACGUGAAAUUCUGUGUGAAUCUGCGAGGACCACCUCGUAAGACUAAAUACUCAUAAGUGACCGAUAGUGAACAAGUACUGUGAAGGAAAGGUGAAAAGAACCUCGGGAGAGGAGUGAAAUAGAUCAUGAAACUAUAAGCUUACAAGCAGUAGGAGAUUUACUUAAAGAUUGACUAUGUGCCUGUUGAAGAAUGUGUUGGCGACUUUUAGGUAGUGGCAGGUUAAGAUUAUAAAAUCGAAUCCAAAGUGAAAGCGAGCUUGAAUGAAGCGUAAGUCUCUAUUUAAAGACCCGAACCUGGGUGAUCUAAUCAUGGCCAGAAUGAAGCUUGGUUAAACCUAAGUGGAAGGUCGAACCCACUGAUGUUGAAAAAUCAGGGGAUGAGCUGUGAUUAGGGGAGAAAUUCCAAUCGAACUCAGAGAUAGCUGGAUCUCCUCGAAAUGUGUUGAGGCACAGCAUUUAACUAUGAGCUGCUUAGGGGUAAAGCACUGUAUCUGUGCGGGCUUCUAACGAGGUACCAAAUGGUAGCAAACUCUGAAUACUAAGCAUGCAUUCAGUUGAGUAGUGAGACAGUGGGGGAUAAGCUUCAUUGUCAAGAGGGAAACAGCCCAGAUCACCAGAUAAGACCCCAAAAUAACAGCUAAGUGGCAAAGGAUGUGUUGACACAUAGACAACCAGGAGGUUUGCCUAGAAGCAGCCACCCUUUAAAAAGUGCGUAAUAGCUUACUGGUCAAGUGUCUUCGCGCCAAAAAUGAACGGGACUAAGUUGUUUGUCGAUGCUGUGAGAUGAAAUAUCGGUAGAGGAGCGUUCUGUAUUAGGUUGAAGUAAAAUCGAAAGGGUUUAUGGACGAAUCAGAAGUGAGAAUGUCAACUUGAGUAACGAAAAUAUUGGUGAGAAUCCAAUACCCCGAAAACCUAAGGUUUCCUCUAGAAGGCUCGUCCGUGGAGGGUUAGUCAGGACCUAAGGCGAGACCUAACGGUGUAGUCGAUGGAUAACAGGUUAAUAUUCCUGUACUGUCUUUACUUUAGUCAAGAGUGACGGAGAAGGCUAGGCUAGCUGGAUGUUGGUUUCCAGUUUAAGCUUUUAAGGUGUUGAAGAAUGUAAAAUAAUAUAUUCUGAGCUAAGGAGUGAAUACGAAAUACUAAGGUAUUACAAGUAGCUGAUGCCAUACUUCCAAGAAAAGCUCUCGUGACAUAUGGGUAAAGAUACCUGUACCUAAAACUGACACAGGUAGGUAAGCAGAGAAUGCUAAGGGGCGUGAGCUAACUCUCUCUAAGGAACUCGGCAAAAUGACUCUGUAACUUCGGGAGAAGGAGUGCCCUUUAACAAGGGUCGCAGUGACUAGUCCCAUGCAACUGUUUACCAAAAACACAGGUUUCUGCAAAGUCGAAAGACAACAUAUAGAAGCUGACACCUGCCCAGUGCCGGAAGGUUAAGGAAGUGGGUUCAAUGCUCGCGACUCAAGCCCCGGUGAACGGCGGCGGUAACUAUAACCGUCCUAAGGUAGCGAAAUUCCUUGCCAGGUAAGUUCUGGCCUGCACGAAAGGUGUAAUGAUGUGGGAGCUGUCUCAGAGAGAGGCUCAGUGAAAUAGAACUGACUGUGAAGAUGCGGUCUACCUGGAUUUGGACAGAAAGACCCUAUGCAGCUUUACUGUUGCUUGGAAUUGGUUUUAAACUUUUUUUGCGCAGAAUAGGUGGGAGGCAAUGAAGUUAUUCUUUUGGGAAUAAGUGAGCCAUUAGUGAGAUACCACUCUAAAAGAGUUAGAAAUCUAAUAAUGUUCCUUGAAUCAGGACAUUUGACAGUUUCAGGUGGGCAGUUUAACUGGGGCAGUUACCUCAUAAAAAGUAACUGAGGUGUGCAAAGGUUCUCUCAGGCUAGACGGAAAUUAGCUGUAGAGUGUAAAGGCAUAAGAGAGCUUAACUGCAAGACCUAUAAGUCGAGCAGAAACGAAAGUUGGCCUUAGUGAUCCGAUGAUAUCAAGUGGAAGAGUCAUCGCUCAACAGAUAAAAGUUACGCUAGGGAUAACAGGCUGAUCUGCACCAAGAGUUCACAUCGACGUGCAGGUUUGGCACCUCGAUGUCGGCUUGUCGCAUCCUGUGGCGGAAGCACGUCUCAAGGGUUGGGCUGUUCGCCCAUUAAAGCGGCACAUGAGCUGGGUUCAGAACGUCGUGAGACAGUUCGGUCCAUAUCCGGUCCAGGCGUUAGAGUAUUGAAAGGAUUUUUUGUUAGUACGAGAGGACCAUAAAAAACAUGCCUCUGGUGUACCAGUUCUUGUGCCAACGGGACAUGCUGGGUAGCCACGCAUGCAUGGAUAACUGCUGAAAGCAUAUAAGUAGGAAGCCUACCUUGAGAUGAGUACUCUCUAUUUUGUAAGAUCACAGCUAGACUAGCUGUUUAUUAGGUAUCAAGUAUAAGAUUAGUAAUAAUUGUAGCUGAGAUAUACUAACAGAUCGAGAAUUUAACCUUAAAAAACUUCUUGGUGUUUAUAGUGCAUUGGACCCACGCUAAAAUCCAUUUCGAACUUAGUUGUGAAAUAGUGUCACGGAAAAUAUACUUUAGGGGAAACUCUAUGGGAAACUAUCUCGAUGCCAGGAUUU
rnacentral:rRNA from 1 species